UACGUAGGGGGCUAGCGUUGUCCGGAAUCAUUGGGCGUAAAGAGCGUGUAGGCGGUCCGGUAAGUCCGCUGUGAAAGUCGGGGGCUCAACCCUCGAAUGCCGGUGGAUACUGUCGGGCUAGAGUGCGGAAGAGGCGAGUGGAAUUCCCGGUGUAGCGGUGAAAUGCGCAGAUAUCGGGAGGAACACCAAUGGCGAAGGCAGCUCGCUGGGACGGUACUGACGCUGAGACGCGAAAGCGUGGGGAGGCAAACAGG
rnacentral:rRNA from 1 species